GAUGAACGCUGGCGGCGUGCCUAAUACAUGCAAGUCGAGCGAACAGACGAGGAGCUUGCUCCUCUGACGUUAGCGGCGGACGGGUGAGUAACACGUGGAUAACCUACCUAUAAGACUGGGAUAACUUCGGGAAACCGGAGCUAAUACCGGAUAAUAUAUUGAACCGCAUGGUUCAAUAGUGAAAGACGGUUUUGCUGUCACUUCUAGAUGGAUCCCCGCCUGUUUAGCUGGUUGGUAAGUGAACGGCGUACCAAGGCAACUAUGGGUAGCCGACCUAUGGGGGGGGUAGGCCACCAUGGAACGGAGGAACGGUCCAGAGUCCUGCGGGAGGGAGCAGUAGGGAAUCGUCCGCAAUGGGGGAAAGCCUGACGGAGCAACGGCGCGUGAGUGAUGAAGGUCUUCGGAUCGUAAAAAUCUGUUAUUAGGGAAGAACAAAUGUGGAAGUAACUAUGCACGUCUUGACGGUACCUAAUCAGAAAGCCACGGCUAACUACGUG
rnacentral:rRNA from 1 species